GGAGUGGUGGCCGAGUGGCCGAAGGCAGCCGCCUGCUAAGCGGUUAGUCGGGUAAAACCGGCUCGGAGGUUCGAAUCCUCUCCACUCCGCCA
rnacentral:tRNA from 2 species